rnacentral:rRNA from 1 species
GACGAACGCUGGCGGCGUGCUUAACACAUGCAAGUCGAACGGAAAGGCCCUGCUUUUGUGGGGUGCUCGAGUGGCGAACGGGUGAGUAACACGUGAGUAACCUGCCCUUGACUUUGGGAUAACUUCAGGAAACUGGGGCUAAUACCGGAUAGGAGCUCCUGCUGCAUGGUGGGGGUUGGAAAGUUUCGGCGGUUGGGGAUGGACUCGCGGCUUAUCAGCUUGUUGGUGGGGUAGUGGCUUACCAAGGCUUUGACGGGUAGCCGGCCUGAGAGGGUGACCGGCCACAUUGCGACUGAGAUACGGCCCAGACUCCUACGGGAGGCAGCGGUGGGGAAUAUUGCACAGUGGGCGGAAGCCUGAUGCAGCAACGCCGCGUGCGGGAUGACGGCCUUCGGGUUGUAAACCGCUUUCGCCUGUGACGAAGCGUGAGUGACGGUAAUGGGUAAAGAAGCACCGGCUAACUACGUG